GAAACGGUGGCUAAUACUCCAUGUGCUCUGUGGUUCGUUCCACUGAGUAAAGCUCCGGCGCUUCGGGAGGGGCCUGCGGCCCAUCAGGUAGUUGGUAGGGUAAUGGCCUACCAAGCCUAUGACGGGUAGGGGGCGUGAGAGCGUGAUCCCCCACACUGGCACUGAGACACGGGCCAGACUCCUACGGGAGGCAGCAGUGAGGAAUAUUGCCCAAUGGACGAAAGUCUGAGGCAGCAACGCCGCGUGGGCGAUGAAGGCCUUCGGGUUGUAAAGCCCUUUUCUGGGGGAAGAGGAAGGACGGUACCCCAGGAAUAAGUCACGGCUAACUACGUGCCAGCAGCCGCGGUAAUACGUAGGUGGCGAGCGUUAUCCGGAUUUACUGGGCGUAAAGCGCGUGCAGGCGGUUUCGUAAGUCGGACGUGAAAGCUCCUGGCUUAACUGGGAGAGGCCGUUCGAUACUGCGGGACUUGAGGUCGGGAGAGGGACGUGGAAUUCCCGGUGUAGUGGUGGAAUGCGUAGAUAUCGGGAGGAACACCAGUGGCGAAGGCGGCGUCCUGG
rnacentral:rRNA from 1 species